rnacentral:rRNA from 1 species
GAUGAACGCUGGCGGCGUGCUUAACACAUGCCAGUCGAGCGAUGAAGCCCAGCUUGCUGGGUGGAUUAGUGGCGAACGGGUGAGUAAAACCCGAGUAAACUGCCCCUAACUCUGGGAUAAGCCUGGGAAACUGGGUCUAAUAUCGGAUAGGAGCGUUCACCGCAUGGUGGGGGUUGGAAAGAUUUAUCGGUUUUGGAUGGACUCGCGGCCUAUCAGCUUGUUGGUGAGGUAAUGGCUCACCAAGGCGACGACGGGUAGCCGGCCUGAGAGGGUGACCGGCCACACUGGGACUGAGACACGGCCCAGACUCCUACGGGAGGCAGCAGUGGGGAAUAUUGCACAAUGGGCGCAAGCCUGAUGCAGCGACGCCGCGUGAGGGAUGACGGCCUUCGGGUUGUAAACCUCUUUCAGUAGGGAAGAAGCGAAAGUGACGGUACCUGCAGAAGAAGCACCGGCUAACUACGUG